UGCAGCCUCGGGGGGCAACAGUGGGGAAUAUUGGGCAAUGGGCGCAAGCCUGACCCAGCAACGCCGCGUGAAGGAAGAAGGCUUUCGGGUUGUAAACUUCUUUUCUCAGGGACGAAGAAAGUGACGGUACCUGAGGAAUAAGCCACGGCUAACUACGUGCCAGCAGCCGCGGUAAUACGUAGGUGGCUAGCGUUAUCCGGAUUUACUGGGUGUAAAGGGCGUGUAGGCGGGAAAGCAAGUCAGAUGUGAAAACCAUGGGCUCAACCUGUGGCCUGCAUUUGAAACUGUUUUUCUUGAGUACUGGG
rnacentral:rRNA from 1 species